UACGUAGGCAGCAAGCGUUGUUCGGAGUUACUGGGCGUAAAGAGCUCGUAGGUGGCGUGUCGCGUCUGCCGUGAAAGCCCAUGGCUUAACUGUGGGUCUGCGGUGGAUACGGGCAGGCUGGAGGCUGGUAGGGGCAAGCGGAAUUCCUGGUGUAGCGGUGAAAUGCGCAGAUAUCAGGAGGAACACCGGUGGCGAAGGCGGCUUGCUGGGCCAGUUCUGACGCUGGAGGAGCGAAAGCGUGGGGAGCGAACAGG
rnacentral:rRNA from 1 species